rnacentral:tRNA from 1 species
UCCCUGAUGGCUCAGAGGGUAAAGAAUUUGCCUGCAAUGCAAAAGACCCAAGUUCAAUCCCUGGGUUGGGAA